AUAUGAACUGGAACGCAAUAUAUAAAUCUCCUGUCACAAAUGAGGUCAGCAGAGCUGUAACAAUUAAUUCUAUCAAGCCAAUAAUUUGGGUAACCGGUUUUAAUUUGGUGUUUGAUGCUAGCCUCCCUGCAAGCAUAGCAUGAUUCUAACAAUGUCUGGAAUGCAUAGUGCCACCUAUCAAUGUUGUUUAUAUUAGAACCUGAUUUGUCUAGGUAGAUAUACACACAUACACAGGCCCUGCUUCAAGGACAACGCUAUUGCCAUACGCCAGGCGGACAAAUGUGGCAGC